rnacentral:misc_RNA from 1 species
CCAAGCCGUGGAGGUCGCCCUGAAAGGGGUGGAUCUCUCACCUGGCCACCCUUGUUUACUUACACCAGUUGCUUUGGUGGGCCCGCUGUGAGGCCGCCCGGGGAACUUUUCGAGUUUUUUGGGCCCGUGUCUGCCAAGGUUUUAACUAAAUCUUAAAGGUCUUAUAUGCUGUCUGAGUGGGAAAAAUACAAUUUGAAAA